UUUUUGUUUUUUUUACCAAAAGAGGAUAAUUCUUCAGUCGACUCUGCCCCGCGUUUGUUCUCAAAUUUCUCCGAAGCAACCACCUUCUGCGAUCUUCUUCCCUCCUCUGUUUUCGUUUCCAAAUUCGUAAGCUUUUGUUUCUGUUGAGUAGAGACAUGUUGUUCGUCCCACUGGUUUGUCCCAGUUUCAAAAUACUGACCAUGCCCGUCCUUUACGAGCAAGAUAAGCACGUCUCCUCUGCUAUUCUGACCGGACAGGAGAGAGGUGUGCUUAGAUGCCAGGAACGGACCUCAUUGCUUCAUCACUGGAAGCUCAAUAAGGAGCAGAUAGAAUUGGUGGACAAAGCUGGUUUCGGUUGGUUUCGCCUAAUAGGAUCUAUUAGCUUAAACAAUUCACUUAUCUCUGCCCUUGUCGAGAGAUGGCGUAGAGAAACCAACACGUUUCACUUCCCUUGUGGCGAAAUGACUAUCACUCUCGAUGAGGUGUCGUUGAUCCUCGGUCUUGCUGUUGAUGGCAAACCUGUCGUUGGUGUUAAAGAAAAAGAUGAGGACCCUUCUCAAGUAUGCCUCAGGCUUUUGGGGAAACUACCAAAAAGUGAAUUGAGUGGUAAUCGAGUCACUGCGAAAUGGUUGAAGGAGAAUUUUGCAGAGUGUCCAAAGGGAGCUACAACGAAAGAGAUUGAGUAUCACAGUCGUGCUUUUCUUAUAUACCUUGUUGGGAGUACCAUUUUUGCAACUACAGAUCCCAGUAAGAUCUCUGUUGAUUACCUUAUUCUCUUUGAGGAUUUUGAGAAAGCUGGAGAAUACGCUUGGGGUGCUGCAGCGCUUGCUUUCUUAUAUAGACAAAUUGGUAAUGCCUCUCAACGGUCUCAGAGUAUCAUUGGUGGCUGCUUGACACUCUUACAGUGUUGGAGUUACUUCCAUCUUAAUAUUGAUCGGCCAAAGAGAACCACCCGGCAAUUUCCACUGGCACUUUUGUGGAAAGGAAGGCAACAGAGUCGAUCGAAGAAUGACUUGUUUAAGUAUCGCAAGGCACUUGAUGAUCUGGAUCCAUCAAAUGUUAGUUGGUGCCCCUUUGAAGGAGAUCUUGACAUUGUGCCACAAAGUUUCAAAGAUAAUCUACUACUUGGAAGGUCCAGAACAAAGUUGAUUGGUCCAAAAGUAGUAGAAUGGCACUUCCCAGAUCGAUGCAUGAAGCAGUUUGGUCUGUGCCAAGUAAUCCCGGGAGAAGUUCCUCCCAGAAGAAACGAGAAACACCAUGACGAAGACUUAGUGGAAGAUAUGAACACAGCAGACGAAGAAUGGAUGAGACGAAGGGAAAACAUUGUGGAGAAUGAAGGAGGAAACGGUGAUGAAAGUGAAUAUAUGCAGUGGUUCAAUAGCAUCACAGUCCCGAAGCUUCACAGAGAUACAAGUCUCGAAGCUGAUAUAAUGAAUGUGCAAGCUGCUAUACUACAAUUUGACGAGGUGGCCUCAACGUUAUCAUUAGAGGAUCUACAUCCAGAGGAAAGAGAAGCAAUCGAAGAAGCAGUGAUGUGUAUGUCCAAUGCCUUGAGAGUAGGAGAUUGGUACGAAGCGUCAACAACAAAUAAACGCAAGCGGAGAGAGGAACAACAACAAACGGAUUGGAGCGAAUGAAAGAAAUGAAGAUCCAUCUGUUGAUCAGUUAGCUUCAGGAAUUCACUUAGAGAAAGAAGAUGUGUUGGGCGUUAAUGGUUACUUACUGUUGUGUGGUGAUACAGAGUUAGUAAGUUUACCCUUUACUGAUUUGGUUCCAAAGGACGACACAGA